rfam:Sorghum bicolor cultivar BTx623 chromosome 2, whole genome shotgun sequence.
GUAGUCGGAUUCACAUCAAUCCACAUGUAUUGGGGUGGGUUGGAGUGGAACCUAAAUUCCACCCCAAUCCACUCCAACACAUGUGGAUUGAGGUGAAUCCGACA